AGUGAACGCUGGCGGUAGGCCUAACACAUGCAAGUCGAACGGCAGCACAGUAAGAGCUUGCUCUUACGGGUGGCGAGUGGCGGACGGGUGAGGAAUACAUCGGAAUCUACUUUUUCGUGGGGGAUAACGUAGGGAAACUUACGCUAAUACCGCAUACGACCUACGGGUGAAAGCAGGGGAUCUUCGGACCUUGCGCGAUUGAAUGAGCCGAUGUCGGAUUAGCUAGUUGGCGGGGUAAAGGCCCACCAAGGCGACGAUCCGUAGCUGGUCUGAGAGGAUGAUCGGCCACACGAGAGCUGAGACACGGUCCAGACGCCUACGGGAGGCAGCAGUGGGGAAUAUUGGACAAUGGGCGCAAGCCUGAUCCAGCCAGACCGCGUGGGUGAAGAAGGCCUUCGGGUUGUAAAGCCCUUUUGUUGGGAAAGAAAAGCAGCAGGUUAAUACCCCGCUGUUCUGACGGUACCCAAAGAAUAAGCACCGGCUAACUUCGUG
rnacentral:rRNA from 1 species